CACUUCUCCGCCUUUUGUCUAAGAUCAAGUGUAGUA
rnacentral:snRNA from 1 species